UACAGAGGUCUCAAGCGUUGUUCGGAUUCAUUGGGCGUAAAGGGUGCGUAGGCGGCGCGGUAAGUCGGGUGUGAAAUCUCGGGGCUUAACUCCGAAACUGCAUUCGAUACUGCCGUGCUUGAGGACUGGAGAGGAGACUGGAAUUUACGGUGUAGCGGUGAAAUGCGUAGAUAUCUGGAGGAACACCGGGUGGCGAAGGCGG
rnacentral:rRNA from 1 species